UACGUAGGGUGCGAGCGUUGUCCGGAAUUAUUGGGCGUAAAGAGCUCGUAGGCGGUGUGUCACGUCGGCCGUGAAAACCUGGGGCUUAACUCUGGGCGUGCGGUCGAUACGGGCAUCACUAGAGUUCGGCAGGGGAGACUGGAAUUCCUGGUGUAGCGGUGAAAUGCGCAGAUAUCAGGAGGAACACCGGUGGCGAAGGCGGGUCUCUGGGCCGAUACUGACGCUGAGACGCGAAAGCGUGGGGAGCAAACAGG
rnacentral:rRNA from 1 species